GUGGGGAAUAUUGGGCAAUGGACGCAAGUCUGACCCAGCAACGCCGCGUGAAGGAAGAAGGCUUUCGGGUUGUAAACUUCUUUUAAGGGGGAAGAGCAGAAGACGGUACCCCUUGAAUAAGCCACGGCUAACUACGUGCCAGCAGCCGCGGUAAUACGUAGGUGGCAAGCGUUGUCCGGAUUUACUGGGUGUAAAGGGCGUGCAGCCGGGCUGACAAGUCAGAUGUGAAAAUCCAGGGCUCAACUCUGGACGUGCAUUUGAAACUAUUGGUCUUGAGUACCGGAGAGGUUAUCGGAAUUCCUUGUGUAGCGGUGAAAUGCGUAGAUAUAAGGAAGAACACCAGUGGCGAAGGCGGAUAACUGGACGGCAACUGACGGUGAGGCGCGAAAGCGUGGGGAGCAAACAGGA
rnacentral:rRNA from 1 species